ACACAUCCGACGAGUCCAAAAUAGGACGAAACGCACGUCUUGGAU
rfam:Schistosoma curassoni strain Dakar, Senegal genome assembly, scaffold: SCTD_scaffold0000330